GAUGAACGCUGGCGGCGUGCCUAAUACAUGCAAGUCGAGCGAACAGAUGAGGAGCUUGCUCCUCUGACGUUAGCGGCGGACGGGUGAGUAACACGUGGAUAACCUACCUAUAAGACUGGGAUAACUUCGGGAAACCGGAGCUAAUACCGGAUAAUAUAUUGAACCGCAUGGUUCAAUAGUGAAAGACGGUUUUGCUGUCACUUAUAGAUGGAUCCGCGCCGCAUUAGCUAGUUGGUAAGGUAACGGCUUACCAAGGCAACGAUGCGUAGCCGACCUGAGAGGGUGAACGGCCACCCUGGGACUGAGACACGGUCCAGACUCCUACGGGAGGCAGCAGUAGGGAAUCUUCCGCAAUGGGCGAAAGCCUGACGGAGCAACGCCGCGUGAGUGAUGAAGGUCUUCGGAUCGUAAAACUCUGUUAUUAGGGAAGAACAAAUGUGUAAGUAACUAUGCACGUCUUGACGGUACCUAAUCAGAAAGCCACGGCUAACUACGUG
rnacentral:rRNA from 1 species